AUUGAACGCUGGCGGCAGGCCUAACACAUGCAAGUCGAACGAGUGGCGGACGGGUGAGUAAUGUCUGGGAAACUGCCUGCUGGAGGGGGAUAAAUACUGGAAACGGUAGCUAAUACCGCAUCCCAUCGGAUGUGCCCAGAUGGGCUUAGCUAGUAGUGGGGGUAAAGGCUCACCUAGGCGACGAUCCCUAGCUGGUCUGCAAGGAUGACCAGCCACACUGGAAUUGAGACACGGUCCAGACUCCUACGGGAGGCAGCAGUGGGGAUGAUGGCACAAUGGGCGCAAGCCUGAUGCAGCCAUGCCGCGUGUAUGAAGAAGGCCUUCGGGUUGUAAAGUACUUUCAGCGGGGAGGCGUUACCCGCAGAAGAAGCACCGGCUAACUCCGUGCCAGCAGCCGCGGUAAUUC
rnacentral:rRNA from 1 species